AUCCUGCUGAUGAGUCCCAAAUAGGACGAAACGCACAUCAAACUGGAU
rnacentral:hammerhead_ribozyme from 1 species